AGCUUGCUAUAGUAUAACUUAGUGGCAGACGGUGAGUAACGUAUAGGAAUCUACCUAGUAGUAUGGAAUAAUUGUUGGAAACGGCAACUAAUACCGUAUACGCCCUACGGGGGAAAAAUUUAUUGCUAUUAGAUGAGCCUAUAUUAGAUUAGCUAGUUGGUGGAGUAAUAGCCUACCAAGGCAAUGAUCUAUAGCUGAUCUGAGAGGAUGAUCAGCCACACUGGGACCGAGACACGGCCCAG
rnacentral:rRNA from 1 species